rnacentral:rRNA from 1 species
GGUUAAGCGACUAAGCGUACACGGUGGAUGCCCUGGCAGUCAGAGGCGAUGAAGGACGUGCUAAUCUGCGAUAAGCGUCGGUAAGGUGAUAUGAACCGUUAUAACCGGCGAUUUCCGAAUGGGGAAACCCAGUGUGUUUCGACACACUAUCAUUAACUGAAUCCAUAGGUUAAUGAGGCGAACCGGGGGAACUGAAACAUCUAAGUACCCCGAGGAAAAGAAAUCAACCGAGAUUCCCCCAGUAGCGGCGAGCGAACGGGGAGCAGCCCAGAGCCUGAAUCAGUGUGUGUGUUAGUGGAAGCGUCUGGAAAGGCGCGCGAUACAGGGUGACAGCCCCGUACACAAAAAUGCACAUGCUGUGAGCUCGAUGAGUAGGGCGGGACACGUGGUAUCCUGUCUGAAUAUGGGGGGACCAUCCUCCAAGGCUAAAUACUCCUGACUGACCGAUAGUGAACCAGUACCGUGAGGGAAAGGCGAAAAGAACCCCGGCGAGGGGAGUGAAAAAGAACCUGAAACCGUGUACGUACAAGCAGUGGGAGCACGCUUAGGCGUGUGACUGCGUACCUUUUGUAUAAUGGGUCAGCGACUUAUAUUCUGUAGCAAGGUUAACCGAAUAGGGGAGCCGAAGGGAAACCGAGUCUUAACUGGGCGUUAAGUUGCAGGGUAUAGACCCGAAACCCGGUGAUCUAGCCAUGGGCAGGUUGAAGGUUGGGUAACACUAACUGGAGGACCGAACCGACUAAUGUUGAAAAAUUAGCGGAUGACUUGUGGCUGGGGGUGAAAGGCCAAUCAAACCGGGAGAUAGCUGGUUCUCCCCGAAAGCUAUUUAGGUAGCGCCUCGUGAAUUCAUCUCCGGGGGUAGAGCACUGUUUCGGCAAGGGGGUCAUCCCGACUUACCAACCCGAUGCAAACUGCGAAUACCGGAGAAUGUUAUCACGGGAGACACACGGCGGGUGCUAACGUCCGUCGUGAAGAGGGAAACAACCCAGACCGCCAGCUAAGGUCCCAAAGUCAUGGUUAAGUGGGAAACGAUGUGGGAAGGCCCAGACAGCCAGGAUGUUGGCUUAGAAGCAGCCAUCAUUUAAAGAAAGCGUAAUAGCUCACUGGUCGAGUCGGCCUGCGCGGAAGAUGUAACGGGGCUAAACCAUGCACCGAAGCUGCGGCAGCGACGCUGAUGCGUUGUUGGGUAGGGGAGCGUUCUGUAAGCCUGC